UAUUCAUAGCUUCCCUUUCUUUCUCUUCUCUGUUUUUCUCCAAAAGGCUCACAAGUCUGUGUCCAUAUCUCCAAUGAAAGAUAAGAUGUCUUCAUUUUAACAAAGAGUUCUUGGUAGAUUUUUGUGGUGUAAAGCAGAUGGCAGUGCUCCUACCAUCUCUUCAGAAAAGAAUAUAUUAAGGAGCAGCCUUUCUGGGUGCCGAGCAGGAGGUGGGACUUCUUUGACCUCUCUCAAAAUCAGUUUUAUUUGAAGAUGAGGAGCCAAUCAUCCAAUAAAAUGAUAUGGAAGAUGACUUUGCAUGAAUCACAAAUAAUUAAGCAAUUGCACAAAUAGACUGGAGUGUGAUGCCCUCUAUUGCAACAUUUGCCCGAAUGAACAUGAAGGCAUUAAAUGAGCACUUAUUCCUUUAUUCCUGAUCAUUCUUAGUGGAGGAAAAAAAAGAAAAAAAGAAAAAAAAAAGAAAAAAAAUGUAGCUACAUAUGGAUUUUGAGACAUUUUCUACAAUGGUGAAUAAUAAGUUUGCUCAUUUUAAUGUGGCCAUGAUAUAGGUAUUGUUGUCUAUCCUGUCUAAGCCAGGAAAUGUGAGUGUCCUGAGAUAUCAGAUUGUGAGAAGUUAUAAUCCAAUUAAUUGAAUAUGAACAAUGAAUGAGCUGCAGCAUUCAGAGAGCACAUGGUAAGCAUAACCUAGGAGUGAACUGGGUUGAAUGUUCUAGGUUGAGUAUUUCUUGUGGUUGUGACUGACAGUAAAUCAUUUAAAAGAAGCAGUCAUAUAUAGAAUUAUAGAAUCAAAUCAUCAAAGUUGGAAAAGACUUCUAAGAUCAUCCAGUCCAAACAUCCACCUACCAGUACUUCCCUGCUAAAUAGUGUCCCAUAGUAUAACAUCUAAAUAUUUCUUGAACACCUCCAGAAACAAUGACUCAACCACCUCCCUGGGCACCCCAUUCCACUACCUAACUGCUCUUUUGAAAACAAUUUUUUCCUCACAUCAAACCUGAAUUUCCCCUGGCACAACUUGACAGCAUUCCCUCUAGAUUCCUUCUAGUCUAAUCACUAGUAAUGUGAGAGAAGAGGUCAGCCCUUACCUCAUCACCACCUUCUUUUGG
rnacentral:lncRNA from 1 species